GAUCCUGGCUCAGAUUGAACGCUGGCGGAAUGCUUUACACAUGCAAGUCGAACGGCAGCACGGGGCAACCUGGUGGCGAGUGGCGAACGGGUGAGUAAUACAUCGGAACGUGCCCAGUCGUGGGGGAUAACGUAGCGAAAGCUACGCUAAUACCGCAUACGAUCUACGGAUGAAAGCGGGGGACUCGCAAGAGCCUCGCGCGAUUGGAGCGGCCGAUGGCAGAUUAGGUAGUUGGUGGGGUAAAGGCUCACCAAGCCUGCGAUCUGUAGCUGGUCUGAGAGGACGACCAGCCACACUGGAACUGAGACACGGUCCAGACUCCUACGGGAGGCAGCAGUGGGGAAUUUUGGACAAUGGGCGCAAGCCUGAUCCAGCCAUUCCGCGUGCAGGAUGAAGGCCUUCGGGUUGUAAACUGCUUUGUACGGAACGAAAAGGUUUUCUCUAAUACAGAGGGCUCAUGACGGUACCGUAAGAAUAAGCACCGGCUAACUACGUG
rnacentral:rRNA from 1 species